rfam:Picea glauca, whole genome shotgun sequence.
UAAUGUAAUUUCUACAAUAUUAAUGCACCAGAUCCCAUUAGAACUUCACAGUUAAGCAUGCUUGGGAUAGAGUAGUAUCAAGAUGUGUGACCUCCUGGGAAUUCCCAGUGUUUGACAUGCC